rnacentral:rRNA from 1 species
ACGAACGCUGGCGGCGUGCCUAACACAUGCAAGUCGAACGUGAAAGUCUUUCGGGAUGAGUAAAGUGGCGCACGGGUGAGUAAUAGAUAGGAACGUACCAAUUGGAGGGGGAUAACCACGGGGAACUGUGGCUAAUACCGCGUAAGAUCGAAAGAUGAAAGGGGGCCUCUGCUUGCAAGCUCUCGCCAGUUGAUCGGCCUAUCUCCCAUUAGCUAGUUGGCGGGGUAAUGGCCCACCAAGGCUACGAUGGGUAGCUGGUCUGAGAGGAUGUCCAGCCACACUGGAACUGAGAUACGGUCCAGACUCCUACGGGAGGCAGCAGUGGGGAAUUUUGCACAAUGGGCGAAAGCCUGAUGCAGCAACGCCGCGUGGGUGAAGAAGGUUCUUGGAUUGUAAAGCCCUUUCGGCUGGGAAGAGGGGUUUUUGGGCUAAUAUCCCAAAGACUUGACGGUACCAGAAGAAGAAGCACUGGCAAACUCCGU